GGAUAAUAGCUCAGGGAUGGAGCAUCUGUUUUGCAUGCAGAAGUUGCCAGGUUCAAUCCCUGGCAUCUCUU